rnacentral:rRNA from 1 species
CCUACGGGGUGCAGCAGUGGGGAAUUUUGGACAAUGGGCGCAAGCCUGAUCCAGCUAUUCCGCGUGUGGGAAGACGGCCUUCGGGUUGUAAACCACUUUUGUAGAGAACGAAAAGUCUAUUGAUAAUACCGAUAGAUGAUGACGGUACUCUAAGAAUAAGCACCGGCUAACUACGUGCCAGCAGCCGCGGUAAUACGUAGGGUGCGAGGGUUAAUCGGAAUUACUGGGCGUAAAGGGUGUGCAGGCGGUUUUGCAAGAUGGAUGUGAAAGCCCCGGGCUUAACCUGGGAAAGCCAUACAUGACUGCAAGACUAGAGUGCGUCAGAGGGGGGUGGAAUUCCAAGUGUAGCAGUGAAAUGCGUAGAUAUUUGGAAGAACACCGAUGGCGAAGGCAGCCCCCUGGGACGCAACUGACGCUCAUACACGAAAGCGUGGGGAGCAAACAGGAUUAGAUACCCUUGUAGUC